UACGUAGGGUGCGAGCGUUAAUCGGAAUUACUGGGCGUAAAGCGUGCGCAGGCGGUUUUGUAAGCCAGAUGUGAAAGCCCCGGGCUUAACCUGGGAAUGGCAUUUGGGACUGCAAGGCUUGAGUGCGGCAGAGGAGACUGGAAUUCCCGGUGUAGCGGUGAAAUGUGUAGAGAUCGGGAGGAACACCGGUGGCGAAGGCGGGUCUCUGGGCAAUUCCUGACGCUGAGGCGCGAAAGCGUGGGGAGCAAACGGG
rnacentral:rRNA from 1 species